CGUGGGGGAUGACGGCCUUCGGGUUGUAAACCUCUUUCAGCAGGGACGAAGCGCAAGUGACGGUACCUGCAGAAGAAGCACCGGCCAACUACGUGC
rnacentral:rRNA from 1 species